rnacentral:lncRNA from 1 species
AAAUGACCGCCGCUAACUCAAGAUUAUGUAUCGGGUAGUUCUUCUCAUAGCUCUUCAACUGGCGCGAAGCAUAUGCAAUGACUCGCCCAUUUUGCAUAAGUAAGAACACACCCGAGACCAUUGUAGGAAGCAUCACUAUACACCACGAAACUCUCUCCCGGAUGCAAUAAUUAAACUGCUUGUGACCCGAAUUGUGAAGAACCUGGUAGAGCUCGGAAAUGAGGUAAGCUGAAUGUUUAUCCCUGGUUUGAGUGUUUCUUUUGAUUGCCUAAGUUGAAGAAGGCAACAAGCAAUUGAGUUCUGAGCUUGAACUAGUAGCAAAAGUGAAAUUUCAGCAUUGAGAUUGAGUACAUUGAGGCUUAUUGAAGCUACUAUAGUAGUAAUGCAUAUACUACUUAGAGUCGAGAUACAAGUUUCGCUGAGGUGUAUGUAUAACUUCAGUUUAAUCUCUUUUAUUCUCCUAUGAAGGAAAGUUAAAUAUACUCAAAGGUCUAAAUUAAUAUUUCGACAGGUUCUUGGUACGCUAAUUACGAUAAAGCCAGUUAGGCUCUAUUUGCAUCUAGUCGGGUGAUACCUUCGUGGAUUCAGCCCGAGACGUGAGUUCUAAUUGUUAGCAUCACUACAGGUGGGUGGUGCUAUCCGAAGUCUUUGAAUCACCUUUUAUGUCUAUGGUUUUCCAUUGAGCAUAUUACUUGUAUUCAUGCAUCACAGGGUAGUGAUAUUAUGAAAGUGAUAUUUGAAUAUGUGAAUGUUUAUCAAUGUUGAGAAAAUGUGAACUUAGAGUGUGAACAUGGAACCCUAUGAAGGUAUGGACUAUAGCAAUAGUAAACUUGGUGACAUUCAACUAGAGAUUUGGUUAGCAUCGAAAGAUGGAAUUGUGAAACUAGUAUAAAGAACUAGUUAGAGUAAAGUGUGACAGUGUUUGUCAGUUGAAUCCUCUAAAAGGGGGAUCAGAUCAUACUCACAUUUGUUUGGUUCAAGUGGGGUCGCUCCCCCUUGGACGAUGAGCUCCGGAGUAGUCAUCUUUACUGGACCAGGAGGUUGCGUCUCCCCCAGUUGACAGUCCCGUCGGGUGCAGGUUGCGUCUCCUCGAUGUUUGGGAUAGUGUCAGUGAGUUAUUGUUAACCAAGAGUUAACCAGUGAAUUGGGUAAAUUCAAUAAAAGCAUGCAUAUUUACAGUUUUCAUAUAUUGCUUCUUUCAGCUUUGUACAGGCAUUGUAGUAGUUACAUGUUUAGUGGUUACUAUCUGUUUGCUUUUCUUGCCUACAUAUGCCUGAAUAGACCUAGUGGGUGAGUCGGCGAGGUCGGUGGCCGAACCCACUGGGAACUUAUUUGUAGUUCUCACACCACUAACCAUACAGGUUCCAGUGCGAGUGUUGUGGCCGAG